rnacentral:rRNA from 1 species
GAGUUUGAUCAUGGCUCAGGAUGAACGCUAGCUACAGGCUUAACACAUGCAAGUCGAGGGGCAGCAUAUUUAUAGCAAUAUAAAUGAUGGCGACCGGCGCACGGGUGAGUAACACGUAUCCAACCUCCCUUUUACUCGGGGAUAGCCUUUCGAAAGAAAGAUUAAUACCCGAUAGUAUAUGGUUUUCUCAUGAAGACUUUAUUAAAGAAUUUCGGUAAAAGAUGGGGAUGCGUUCCAUUAGGCAGUUGGCGGGGUAACGGCCCACCAAACCUACGAUGGAUAGGGGUUCUGAGAGGAAGGUCCCCCACAUUGGAACUGAGACACGGUCCAAACUCCUACGGGAGGCAGCAGUGAGGAAUAUUGGUCAAUGGGCGAGAGCCUGAACCAGCCAAGUAGCGUGAAGGAUGACUGCCCUAUGGGUUGUAAACUUCUUUUAUAAGGGAAUAAAGUGGAGUAUGUAUACUCCUUUGUAUGUACCUUACGAAUAAGGAUCGGCUAACUCCGUGUCAGCAGUAGCGGUAA